GCGAUCUGGAGGGAAAAGUUGAGUUUUCCCAGUCAGCGGUGGGGAGGGGACAGCGAGAGACCCAAUUCCCUCCGACUCCGCCCGGAUCCGUGGUGGCCCCAGCCUAGAAGCUGCCCCAGGAGGGUCUUGGUUUCCUGCUCGCAGCUCGGCCGUCUUUGCAGGAAGGAGUUUUCCCGGGCGCCCGGUGCGGGGCGAGAUACCCCCAGCCUCCUGGGGUGGGCAGCCGGUGAGGCUGCAGAGGAGCCGAGCCGAGCCGACGUGCGGGGGCAAAGUAAAGAGGCACGUGUGCCGGGAAAGUGAUUUUUUUUUUUAAGCGUCGGAUGUAAAUUCGCGUUCUGGUUUUAGUAGUAACUGAUACGCUGGUGCUCAAACUCGAGACUCCCACUUUAUUUUUCUCCUCCCUCUGCCCAAGGUUGAACUCGCCUUACACCUGUAACCGGUGGACUUCCCUACACACCUUUGCAAGUCUUCCUGUGCCGACCAGCGCCUUCAAAGCGGGGUCUUCCGCCUUUACUUUUGGAAAAGCUUUUUAUUUUGAAAUACUUGGCUGACUUACAAAAGACUUCCCCUCACACUUGACAUGAUUGACAAAAGCUGUUUGCAGUGUUUCCUGCACGAUGAACACCAGGAACCUGGGAAGUGAGAAGAACCCUGGGAUGAAGUCAUCCUGCUGGAAUGACCUGGCUUUCAGGCUGACUGCCACCCGCCCCAUGGGGAACCUAUCUCCACUGCUAUGGCCAGCUAUUUUUUUCGAGCCAGGCUCUCGCUCUGUUGCCCAGGCUGGAGUGCAGUGGUGCAAUCACUGCACUGAUCCUCCCACCUCAGCCUACAAGUAGCUGGGACUACAGGCGUGCACCACCACGCCUAGCUAAUUUCUAAAAUUUUUUUGUAGAGACGGUCUCUACAAUCGCUUGAGCCCAGGCUGGUCUUAAACUCCUGGACCCAAGCGAUCCUCCUGUCUCGGCCUCCCAAAGUGUUGGGAUUAUGGGUGUGAGCCACCGUGUUGGGCCUUUGCCCAGCUAUUUUGAUGCCCAGACCUGCUUCACCUUUGUGUAUGAUGCCAGGGGGCUUCCUGAGCUUGGUGUAUUUUUGUUGUGUGUUUGUUUUUUAAGUUGGGAGUUUUUGGGGAAAAAAAUUUUUCUCCUGACAUUCAAUGCCAGACAACUUAUAUGCAUCCACUAGCUACCCCGGAUUGUAAAUCCUAGGUUAUUCUUGGGAAAAGUUGCUUUAAAAAAAUAAAUAAAUGUUUGGGUAUAA